rnacentral:rRNA from 1 species
UACAGAGGGUGCAAGCGUUUGUUCGGAAUUAUUGGGCGUAAAGCGCGUGUAGGCGGCGUGACAAGUCGGGUGUGAAAGCCCUCAGCUCAACUGAGGAAGUGCGCCCGAAACUGUCGUGCUUGAGUGCCGGAGAGGGUGGCGGAAUUUCCGGUGUAGCGGUGAAAUGCGUAGAUAUCGGAAGGAACACCAGUGGCGAAAGCGGCUUCCUGGACCGGCAUUGACGCUGAGGAGCGAAAGCUAGGGGAGCAAACGGGG